UACGUAGGGGGCAAGCGUUAUCCGGAUUUACUGGGUGUAAAGGGAGCGUAGACGGUGAUGCAAGUCAGAAGUGAAAGCCCGGGGCUCAACUCCGGGACUGCUUUUGAAACUGUGUGACUGGAGUGCAGGAGAGGUAAGCGGAAUUCCUAGUGUAGCGGUGAAAUGCGUAGAUAUUAGGAGGAACACCAGUGGCGAAGGCGGCCUGCUGGACAGAAACUGACGUUGAGGCUCGAAAGCGUGGGUAUCGAACAGG
rnacentral:rRNA from 1 species